UACGUAGGGUGCGAGCGUUAAUCGGAAUUACUGGGCGUAAAGCGUGCGCAGGCGGUUUUGUAAGCCGGAUGUGAAAUCCCCGGGCUUAACCUGGGAAUGGCAUUCGGGACUGCAAGGCUGGAGUGCGGCAGAGGAGACUGGAAUUCCUGGUGUAGCAGUGAAAUGCGUAGAUAUCAGGAGGAACGCCGAUGGCGAAGGCAGGUCUCUGGGCUGACACUGACGCUCAUGCACGAAAGCGUGGGGAGCAAACAGG
rnacentral:rRNA from 1 species